UGCAGUUGGAGAUUCUAGACUGGAGGGAAAUAAAAGGACUGAGAAGAUCCACAGGUCAGUGGGCUCAGAGAAUCUAGAAAGUGUGAGGUUCAAGUAGGAUGCUGAGGCACUGUCCCCAGCCUAUGUGUCUGCCUCCCCCUCUUAGGAGCCCCAAGCCAUUCAAGAGUCCAAAAAUCAUGUCAAGUGGCUCAAUGUCCAGAAGGUUCAUUCAUUCUAUAUGGUCAUAUCUGUCCCCAGGCUAUGUUCUGGGGCACAGAGCCUUAUGCAGGUCAGCUGCCAAACUGCAUCCUUUUUGUCACCCUUUUGCCCAGCAUGUCAUAUCCCCUUCUUUCCUUACUGCCUCUCCUUUCAGGUGGCAGGUCUGGGCCACCUGAAGCCCAAUCUGCUAGUCUUGGGAUAUAAGGGAAAUUGGCAGGAGGUGCCAAUACCAGCUGUGGAGGACUAUGUUAGCAUUCUACAGUAAGUGUUGGGGGAAAGGUGAAGACAGGCUUAGAAAUGGUCAGGAGCCAGAGGAAGAAGAAACAUAAUCAUGGUGAAGCCCUCUUCUCUCCAGCUGCUCAGCAGUACCUAUAUCCCCAGGAAGAGGAACAUCCCUCUUGUCAGCUCUUGCUCCUAAUUUCCUUUUUUCUUCCCCAUAAAGAGAUGCCUUUGACCACAACUAUGGUGUCUGUCUCUUAAGGAUGCCAGGGGGGUUAAACCUGGCUACCCAACUUCAAACUCAAGUAUCCUUACACUGGCAGCCUCGAACCUUGUUUUGCUCCAAGCAGGCUGGUGGAUAGUGGACGUGUACUGGCUUAGCAGUGAUGGAGGGCUGAUGCUGCUGAUCCCCUUUCUACUGACAUGCAAGAAAAACUGGGCUUGAUGUCCCGUAAGAGUUUUUGUGAGCAGUCCCCCUGAGCAG